rnacentral:lncRNA from 1 species
GUCAAAACCAGUCUUUCGUGGCUCUGGAAGAGGAGGAGGACCUUCCACCAACUUCACAAAGUAGUGGCACUUGACGAUUUUCAUGAUGCCAAACAUGCCUUUCCCGUGGAGACGGAUCCGUUUUGUAUAGUGGCCUUUGCCUGCCAGUGACUCAGCUAUAUGUAAAUUUGAUUUGAAUUCCACGUUGUGAUUUCUUACUGCCAUUUCCUGAGCCUCUAAGAGAACCUCUUUGAUGAUCUUUGCUCCCUUUUUAUCAUUAAAUUCCAACUGAGCAAGAGCUUGAUCAAUGGACAUUCCUUUAAUCAGUUUUGCCAGAUACCACAUCUUAUCUUUGCUGUACUUUAUUUCCCUCCGACAAUGAUAUAUUUCAGCUGGUCUGCGAGGUUCCCCGGGCAGCUGAGGAGGGUAAACAAUCCUGUUCUUUUUCUCC